rnacentral:rRNA from 1 species
UACGUAGGGACCAAGCGUUGUUCGGAUUUACUGGGCGUAAAGGGCGCGUAGGCGGCGCGGUAAGUCACUUGUGAAAUCUCUGAGCUUAACUCAGAACGGCCAAGUGAUACUGCAGUGCUAGAGUGCAGAAGGGGCAAUCGGAAUUCUUGGUGUAGCGGUGAAAUGCGUAGAUAUCAAGAGGAACACCUGAGGCGAAGGCGGGUUGCUGGGCCGACACUGACGCUGAGGCGCGAAAGCUAGGGGAGCGAACGGG